rnacentral:rRNA from 1 species
CCUACGGGCGGCUGCAGUGGGGAAUAUUGCACAAUGGGGGAAACCCUGAUGCAGCGACGCCGCGUGAGUGAAGAAGUAAUUCGUUACGUAAAGCUCUAUCAGCAGGGAAGAAACACUGACCUUACGGUCAGCAGACGGUACCUGAGUAAGAAGCACCGGCUAACUACGUGCCAGCAGCCGCGGUAAUACGUAGGGGGCAAGCGUUAUCCGGAUUUACUGGGGGUAAAGGGAGCGUAGACGGUGCGCCAAGUCUGGAGUGAAAGGCCGCAGCUUAACUGCGGAACUGCUUUGGAAACUGGCGAACUAGAGUGCGGGAGGGGUAAGCGGAAUUCCUAGUGUAGCGGUGAAAUGCGUAGAUAUUAGGAGGAACACCGAUUGCGAAGGCAGCUUACCAAGCUACUUCUGACGUUGAGGCACGAAAGCGUGGGGAGCAAACAGGAUUAGAUACCCUUGUAGUC